ensembl:lncRNA
CCGACCCCGCAUCCCCAGCCAAAAUGUAUUGUGGUACUAAAAAUUGCUAGAGAGACUCUGGGAGCUUCACAGAAAAACCCUAAAUCUUGCAAAUUUGCAUUGUCUCUUGUUGAUUACUUUAUUCUUAGGAUAUUGGUCCCCACCUACUCACUAAGACACAGGACCUCAAUCGUCCUUCAACAACAUCUGGAGCUGGGGCUGGAAGAAAUCCCUUGGGCCCUCCAAGCUUACUGCCCAGGAAAGAAGAGCCACAGUUUCUUCCGUGGGUGGCUGGAUCAGCCAACGCUGUCCCUCACUCUGUCCGUAAUGGUCAGUCAGCCAAGGAAAGAGUGUCUAGUUUGGCCUACUCAUCUGCACCAAAAAAUAUCAAAGAAGUUUUAUUCAAGCAGAGCUAACACUAUCAGCAAGUUUCAUUCCAAAGUCAAUAUGUGCAUGGCAAUAGGAAUCACGACAAGCAAUGUCAAGGGAAAGUGAGACACAAGGGGAGAGAGUUGCUUUCAGUAAGUCCUUUAUCCUCCUUACCCAAAAAUACCCAUUUCAGCAUGAAUUUUGGAGUUCCAGAGUUUUAUUUUACUGACAAAUGUGGCUUUUAUGUACUAUCUUCUUUUGUAAAUUCUGCACACUGUUAGGCAUUUUUUCACAAGUGGGAAAGUCCACUUUGUCACUGGAUAAAGAUGAAUUUACUACUUUAAUAAUUUGCAAAGAGCACAAAAGUAUCAAGAGCAUCUUGUAGUCAUAAGAGGAAGUGGAGAAUAUGAUCCAUUAGUAUGCAUUUUGUGUAAUGACUUGAGAGUAUAUUCUAUAUUAAAAUCCACCAUGUUUAAAUUUCAUUUUAUCUACAUUCUACUCUCAAACUUCCACACCAUGUUCUUUGGAAUAUAUUUAAUGUCUAAGAUCUGCAAGUUCUCACCUACACAAACUCUGCAGCCAGCAAGUUCUUUAUUAAACUACAGCUUUAAGGUGCCACUCAAAAAACAGAGAGGGAAACUGUUUUCUUUAUGUUCUGCAGGGAGCUAAAGACAGAUGGAAAUAGACAAUUUCCAUGGACACCCUUGCAAUCACCAUGAUUAAUUUUAUUGGCCAGAUUCCUCAGAUUUGAAAGCCUUGAAAGAGGGGUGUUGAAACUGUCACAGUAACAUCUAAUUAAGAAGGAAAUAGAGCCUUAAGAGAAAUACUGACUCUCCUUUUCAUCAAAGGGUAGUAAAUUAUAUAAAGAAGGCACCAAAUCCUCAGUAGGUAACCCAGCCAUUCUGAUACCUUCUUGACCUCUUCCCAAUGGUCACCAGCGCGCACAGCUACACAUGUACACCCACAUGCACAAAUGCAUGCCCUGAAUUAAUUAAGCCAAUCCUUUUCAACUAGAAUGUUUCAUCUAGCCUUCCUGGUAAUGACUGAUAGAUACCCAGAUAGAUACUUGCAACCUCAGGUAGGUGAAGCUAAAAGAUUGAUAUGAUUUUAUCAUUUUACCCAAGUCCAUAUUUUAAAGUUCACAUUUAAACAAGUACACAAUACAUAUUACACAUAUGUAUAUAGAGAGGAAAUUCUCACACACACGUCCCUAGAUAAUAGUCAGAAUGUGUGGACUAUGGCCAGGAGACUAAGCAUAAAGAUCACAAUGUGUCAACACUAUUAUAUCUGUUACCACAAAAGUCAGACACAAAUAAUUACAUUUUCUAGAGAGUGAAAAUACAAUGAAUCCUUAUGAUUUUUGCUCUUGUUAUUACCCUCAUAAGCACCUAAUAUGAUUUAUAAAUAGUCUAUUUAUUAAAACUGUGUUUAUAUAUUACAGAUGAGAAAAAAGUUGUCUCUGUACUGAAGUAGUUGAGUAAACGCUGAUUUUUCAUGGAAGGGUAGUUUAUGUAUUCUUUGAUAAAUUUUGAAUUAAUAAAAAUUCAAAUAGUAAGAGAAUUGAAACAUAGCAGUGAUAGUAGUAUUUAGGAUAAAAUUAUCACAUUGAUAAAAAAUUUUGUAUAUCUUCUCUUUUUAAAAAAAAUUGGGCCUGGGUAUAUUUGUUGUUAAUUUAAAAUGACUCUUAUCUCAGUGACAAAAUUGCAGGAAAAUUUGGCUUUGCCUUAGAGAAAAUAGAACAUACACAUGUAUUGAUGCAAAUAAGAAUAAUACAUGUUUUGUAGAAAAUUAUUUUCCUUCAUGAAGAUUGUGCUCCACUCCUGGGAAAUAAUCCUGUCUUGACUUAGUUUGUAUUUGUUUCAUUAGGUUGUAAUGCAAAAUGUACCAUAAUGUUAUCCCUUUCAGUAUAACGCAAAGGGGAACAUAAACCGCAAUUCUUUUAGUGUAAGAAAUGCUUGGAAAUUAAGUCAUGGCUUCUAACCUUCUGAGUCAUGUUCUUUAUUUGAAAGAACUGUGUUUAAGCACUAAAUAAUAAGAAAGAAAUAAUCAACUACAUGAUUGAUUAUUACUGUAUUUACAUCAGUUACACCUGAACUAAAGUCAUAAAUUCAGAGCCUCUCUUCUGUAUUUCAAGUGCUUUAGAAGCUUUGGUUCUCAUACUCCAGCAGGUAUUUGAUCACCUGGGCUUCAUCCCAGAAUUGUGAUUUUACUUAGGCCUGGGUGUGGCCUAAGAACCUGCACAUCUACCUCUCAGGGGAUGGAGCUGUUGCUGGGCCAGGGACCUGACUUUGAGGGCCACCAAUAAAAUGUAACCUCAUUAAAACAGUCAGGUCUUACCUUUUAGGCAGAUGUAUUUGAGUCAUUGCAUUUCUAUGUAUUUCAGUAACAGCUAUAGCUUGCAAAAUAUAAAAUCUAUUAUAUUCAAUUAAAAAGUAAUGAAACGUGCUU